rnacentral:rRNA from 1 species
GACGAACGCUGGCGGCGUGCCUAAUACAUGCAAGUAGAACGCAGUUGCGAACGGGUGAGUAACGCGUAGGUAACUGCCUCAUAGCGGGGGAUAACUAUUGGAAACGCUAGCUAAUACCGCAUACUGAGAGAUGGACCUGCGUUGUAUUAGCUAGUUGGUGAGGUAAAGGCUCACCAAGGCGACGAUACCUAGCCGACCUGAGAGGGUGGUCGGCCACACUGGGACUGAGACACGGCCCAGACUCCUACAGGAGGCAGCAGUAGGGAAUCUUCGGCAAUGGACGGAAGUCUGACCGAGCAACGCCGCGUGAGUGAAGAAGGUUUUCGGAACGUAAAGCUCUGUUGUUAGAGAAGCGGUAGCUAACCAGAAAGUAACGGCUAACUACGUGCCAGCAGCCGCGGUAAUUC